CCAAUUACACCAGUGCUCCGCCGGGCUUUGAUGUGGCGGAAAAGCAGAGAGAUAGGGGCAAAUUGCACAGCCAUAUUAUGCCCUUCAGAUUGGAAUUGUCUUGGGUUAUGGCGCUGGGCCCUGUCUGUAUGGUUAAUUAGUCUGACGAGUAGCCACCGUGCUCCUCACCGCUCUCCACGUCGUCACGCCUGCAGCAACUUGGGUUUAUUGUUCCUGAUGAUUGACUAGCAUGCAGCGGAGAGCGGAUCAAACUCCAGAGAAGGAGCGCGACUGAUCAGCUGUCAGAGGAGGAGACAGACAGAGUGGCAGCACCACUGAUGGUUGGUAAAACCUAAAAGUUUUGUGUUCA